rnacentral:rRNA from 1 species
GAUGAACGCUGGCGGCGUGCCUAAUACAUGCAAGUCGAGCGAACCAAAGAGAGCUUGCUCUCUGAGGUUAGCGGCGGACGGGUGAGUAACACGUGGGUAACCUGCCUGUAAGACGGGGAUAACUUCGGGAAACCGAAGCUAAUACCGGAUGAUAAAGAGAAACGCCUGUUUCUUUUUUGAAGGUCGGCCUUGUGCUGACGCUUACAGAUGGGCCCGCGGCGCAUUAGCUAGUUGGUGAGGUAACGGCUCACCAAGGCGACGAUGCGUAGCCGAGCUGCGAGGGUGAUCGGCCACACUGGGACUGAGACACGGCCCAGACUCCUACGGGAGGCAGCAGUAGGGAAUCUUCGGCAAUGGACGAAAGUCUGACCGAGCAACGCCGCGUGAGCGAUGAAGGCCUUCGGGUCGUAAAGCUCUGUUGUCAGAGAAGAACAAGUACCGGAGUAACUGCCGGUACCUUGACGGUACCUGACCAGAAAGCCACGGCUAACUACGUGCCAGCAGCCGCAGUAA